rnacentral:rRNA from 1 species
UACGUAGGGUGCAAGCGUUAAUCGGAAUUACUGGGCGUAAAGCGUGCGCAGGCGGUUAUGCAAGACAGAUGUGAAAUCCCCGGGCUUAACCUGGGAACUGCAUUUGUGACUGCAUCGCUGGAGUGCGGCAGAGGGGGAUGGAAUUCCGCGUGUAGCAGUGAAAUGCGUAGAUAUGCGGAGGAACACCGAUGGCGAAGGCAAUCCCCUGGGCCUGCACUGACGCUCAUGCACGAAAGCGUGGGGAGCAAACAGG